UGCUAAGUUAAGCUCCAAAUUAGACGUCUUCUGUAUAGCUUAUAUGUCUAGUCUUGAAGACUUCUGCUGUAAGACCUGGUGGAGACGUACAGGCUCUGGUACACGUUUUUAAAGUCAAUCUCCAAGUCUUGCAAGCAAAACUUGCGCACAUUUUUACUACCAGCUUGCAACGAUUCCUUCGACAGCACCAUCAGUGGAAUGAUUACAUCGUUAUGGUAUCGUCAUAUAACAGCUCUCCGCACAAAACAGUGUAUUACCAGCGUACUGCAAGGUUUAUGCUCGAGUCGAUUUCGCAUAGGCCGCUAGUUAGACGGUUACAGCGCGCGUACCAAGUAUCAGCCAUUGAGGAAGGUACCUUCCUCCAUGGCCAAUUCAAACCUACCGCGUCAGCUCAAACUGAAAGCCGCGCCAUAGUUUCGUGUGCCCGUGAUGGCAAUACAACAAAACCUUUCAAUAAAAUGUGUGCCGUUAUUACACAAUUCGUAAAAGCUUUAAUAAAACAUUUUGAACGAAGUUUCACAGGCUAGUAUAACAUGGUGCGGCACAACAGUUGGUGCGCUACUAUGGCUUGGCCGCUUCCAACGCUAGCUCCCGCGCCUGCCAUGCUGCCGUUGCCGUGCAUUGUCUCCGUUCGCGCUUGCAGUGUCGCGCAUGGCCGCGCGCCCGCACUUUGCAAAGGAUUCAACGGGUCGCUUUCGUGCGUACAUCGCAUUCUCUGUGUGUUCCUGCGUUGAUGGCUCAGCUUCGUUUUGGUGCUUUCAGACAUUCACGUACUAAUCACAGACAUGGGAAGACUAUAAGACGUCAAGAUGAAAGGCUCCUAGCAGCUCUCAGUGUUCCCAACGAAACUGGCAGAAUGGCAGUGGCUGAUUACAAGCUGCCUUUGGUGAACAAAAAAACCGUGACCACAUUAGAAUCCGAGCAGAGCUCCAAUCCUGCAUUCUGAUGACACCUUACACAACGGCUCUCUGUUAUGGGGGGCUGGUACUUAAGAAGCUUUACUGCGGGCAUCCUACCCACUAUUUUCAGACUGUUUUGGUGGAAACUUAAGCUAGACUCUAGGCCAGCGGCGGAAAAAGAGCUUCAGGGACGUGCAUGUCUACAGUGUCAUGGAAGAAGCUAUUCAUAGCAAUACCACGUGGGAAAAUGUGAUGACCGAUGCCAUUCGCCAAGCAGCAACUGCCUGGUUGAAGAAUUGCAGCUUGCGAGCGGAUAAAAAGCCAGCACGUUACGUUAAGCUUAGUGUUCAGGUAAUUUUAUAUAGAAAUUUAAGAUAUACUUACGUUUUUAACUGAGUCAGCAUCAUGUAGCAUGUUUACAUCUCAUUAAAAUCGACUGUUGGUUCUAGAUCAGAAGUGCAUGGUAUGGGAUUAACAUUUUGUCUUGGCGUUCUAAACUCUACUUAUAUCAGUCUGUUCUCAAUCGCCAGAUAACUUCCAACGACCAUCUAUGCAUGAUGUUGUGACAUCAUGCUUUACUGUGGCCAUAGGGAAACUUGUAUACAUUCUGAAGAAUUUCACUUUAGACAAUAAAUUCUGGGAACCCCAAGUAGAGUUGGCGUUCAGGGCCACUUGCUUACAUGAUGCAGUGUAAAAGAAAGAUAUAAAUAUUUACUUCCAGGCAGCAAAAGGACAUGGGAGAUGAUUUAGGUGAACGUGAAAAGGCAUUUGAAAUUAUAGAAUGAAUUAUACCUGUCUUCUGGCACUAUGCUUAUGCAUGCAGAUUUUAAGCAGUUUUUUAUGUGUUGUAUUUGUUUCUUUUAUACCAUUGUUCAGUCUUGUGGGGACAGCCACUGAAAGGCCAGGCUUAAAACAAGUAUAACUAUGCAUCAUGAGUGCAUCAGUUCUAUAAUGUUUGAAAGUGGUGUGCGCAUUACAUGCCCUUAACAGUAGUCACCGAGAGAAAACAAAGUGUAUUCGCUAAUUUUUCUAAUAUGUAGAGAUUAUUUCUUAGUCAUGUUUAUGCUAAGCAUUUGGCUUUUACUGGCCUUACUAUAAGUGAGUCUGGUCUUUUUUCUCUU